rnacentral:rRNA from 1 species
UGGGGAAUAUUGCACAAUGGGCGCAAGCCUGAUGCAGCAACGCCGCGUGAACGAUGAAGGUCUUCGGAUCGUAAAGUUCUGUUGCAGGGGAAGAUAAUGACGGUACCCUGUGAGGAAGCCCCGGCUAACUACGUGCCAGCAGCCGCGGUAAUACGUAGGGGGCUAGCGUUAUCCGGAUUUACUGGGCGUAAAGGGUGCGUAGGUGGUCUUUCAAGUCGGUGGUUAAAGGCUACGGCUCAACCGUAGUUAGCCUCCGAAACUGGAAGACUUGAGUGCAGGAGAGGAAAGUGGAAUUCCCAGUGUAGCGGUGAAAUGCGUAGAUAUUGGGAGGAACACCAGUAGCGAAGGCGGCUUUCUGGACUGCAACUGACGCUGAAGCUCGAAGGUGCGGGUAUCGAACAGG